rnacentral:rRNA from 1 species
AGUGAACGCUGGCGGUAGGCCUAACACAUGCAAGUCGAACGGCAGCACAGUAAGAGCUUGCUCUUACGGGUGGCGGGUGGCGGACGGGUGAGGAAUACAUCGGAAUCUACUUUUUCGUGGGGGAUAACGUAGGGAAACUUACGCUAAUACCGCAUACGACCUACGGGUGAAAGCAGGGGAUCUUCGGACCUUGCGCGAUUGAAUGAGCCGAUGUCGGAUUAGCUAGUUGGCGGGGUAAAGGCCCACCAAGGCGACGAUCCGUAGCUGGUCUGAGAGGAUGAUCAGCCACACUGGAACUGAGACACGGUCCAGACUCCGACGGGAGGCAGCAGUGGGGAAUAUUGGACAAAGGGCGCAAGCCUGAUCCAGCCAUACCGCGUGGGUGAAGAAGGCCUUCGGGUUGUAAAGCCCUUUUGUUGGGAAAGAAAAGCAGCAGGUUAAUACCCCGCUGUUCCGACGGUACCCAAAGAAUAAGCACCGGCUAACUUCGUG